NNNNNNNNNNNNNNNNNNNNNNNNNNNNNNNNNNNUGCACAGCCAUCCCUGGGCUUUGGAAUGUCAGAACAUCCACAGAGCUCCCCUGCAGCCCUGCUCAGCCACCCCCAGCCCAUCCCCAUCCCCACAGCCUCCCCAGUGCCGUUUUCCCCGAGCAGGGAGCGGAUUUGGGGCUGAGUUUCCAUCUGCCCAAGGGCAGGAGCCGCCUCUCCGCGAUCCCUGAAAUGGCAGCGAAACCAUCACGUGGUGCCCGAGCUGAACCGGGAGCGCGGAGCCGGGAGGGGGAGCUGUUCCCGCACAUUCCGGGAUCCCGGAGUGUUCCUGCAUCUUCCCGGGGUGUUCCCGCAUCUUCCCGGGGUGUUCCUGCACCUUCCCGGGAUCCCGGGCUGUUCCUGCACCUUCCUGGGGUGUUCCUGCACCUUCCCGGGGUGUUCCUGCACCUUCCCGGGGUGUUCCUGCAUCUUCCUGGGGUGUUCCUGCACCUUCCCGGGGUGUUCCUGCAUCUUCCCGGGGUGUUCCCGCAUCUUCCCGGGACCCCGGGCUGCUCCCGCACCUUCCACAGAUCCCGAGCUGGGGAAUACCGGGCUGGUCCCGAAUCCUCAGGGAUGGCGGGCUGCUCCUGCAUCUCCCGGGAAUCCCGGGCUGCUCCCGCAUACCCCCGGGAGUUCCCACAUGUUCCCGGUAUCCUCGGCUGUUCCCGCAUCUUCCCGGGAUCCCGGGCUGGGGAAUACCGGGCUGCUCCCGAAUCUUCGGGGAUCGCGGGCUGCUCCUGCAUCUCCCGGGAAUCCCGAGCUGUUCCCGCAUCUUCCCGGGAUCUCGGGCUCUGGGAAUGCCGGGCCGUUCCCGCAUCUUCCCGGGAUCCCAAGCUGUUCCUGCACGAUCCAGGGAUCCCGAGCUGUUCCCGCACCUUCCCGGGGAUCCCGGGUUGUUCCCGCAUGUCCCACGGAUCCCGGGCUCUGGGAAUGCGAGGCUGGUUCCACUUGUCCCACAGAUCCCGGGCUGUUCCUUCAUGUUCCACGGAUCCUGGGCUGGUCCCGCACGAUCCAGGGAUCCCGGGCUGUUCCCAAUGUCCCAUGCAUCCCGAGCUCCGGGAAUGCUGGGCUAGUCCCACAUCUCCCACAGAUACUGGGCUGCUCCUGAACCUUCCAGGGAUUCCAGACUCUUCCCUCAUGUUCCAAGGACCCCGGGCUCUGGGAAUGCCGGGCUGGUUCCAAUAUCCCAGGGAUCCCGGGCUGUUCCCGAUGUCCCAGGGAUCCAGGGCUCUGGGAAAGCCGGGCUGCUCCUGCACCUUCCAGGGAUCCCGAAAUGCUCCUGCACCUUCCAGGGAUUCCAGGCUCAGGGAAU
rnacentral:lncRNA from 1 species